rnacentral:rRNA from 5 species
CUGCCAGUGAUAAACUGGAGGAAGGUGGGGAUGACGUCAAGUCAUCAUGGCCCUUACGACCAGGGCUACACACGUGCUACAAUGGCGCAUACAAAGAGAAGCGACCUCGCGAGAGCAAGCGGACCUCAUAAAGUGCGUCGUAGUCCGGAUUGGAGUCUGCAACUCGACUCCAUGAAGUCGGAAUCGCUAGUAAUCGUGGAUCAGAAUGCCACGGUGAAUACGUUCCCGGGCCUUGUACACACCGCCCGUCACACCAUGGGAGUGGGUUGCAAAAGAAGUAGGUAGCUUAACCUUCGGGAGGGCGCUUACCACUUUGUGAUUCAUGACUGGGGUGAAGUCGUAACAAGGUAACCGUAGGGGAACCUGC